rnacentral:rRNA from 1 species
GACGAACGCUGGCGGCGUGCCUAACACAUGCAAGUCAACUUGACGGAAGGAGCAAUCUGACCGUAGAGUGGCGCAAGGGUGCGUAACGCGUAAGUAACUUGCCCCAAGGUAAGGAAUAACGUCGAGAAAUCGGCGCUAAUACCUCAUAAUGCAGCGGAUCCGCAUGGAUAUGUUGUUAAAGGUUUACCGCCUUGGGAUAGGCUUGCGUCUGAUUAGCUAGUUGGUGUGGUAACGGCACACCAAGGCUACGAUCAGUAACUGGUCUGAGAGGAUGAUCAGUCACACUGGAACUGAGACACGGUCCAGACUCCUACGGGAGGCAGCAGUGAGGAAUAUUGGGCAAUGCUCGAAAGAGUGACCCAGCAACGCCGCGUGGAGGAUGAAGGUAUUCUAUAUCGUAAACUCCUGUGAGAGCAGACGAAAGACAGAUUAUUAAUCUGGAUGACUGUAUGCUCAG